AGCACGUGAUCAGCUCCUCGCCGAGGAGCACAAGAAUUUCGCUGGCGCUGGCCUCGUCCAUCUUCAAGAGCAACUCUUGUAUAUCUGCCAGAUAAUCGUAGUUGGCGCAGUUCUUAAAGAACUUGGGAUCCAUUUUACUAAGGCUUAUGAAUGUUGGGCCAGCUCUGUCGAUAUUUGGCCACCAGUGAGGUGACAGCUGUAUUGAGAUCCUCAUUGGAUGGCGCUGUCAGCAGCUGUAUGGCCAUCUGCAGAUGGGUCAGAGUCAAGGCAUCACCUGCGAGAGACAGCUCCUCAUCUUCUAAAUUCCAAUGAGCGCCAGGCUCCACAGUAACCGAUGGUUGACGCGCCAGCGAGUCGGCGCGACGAAAGAAAGGACACGCCAUACUGCGUGCGACUACUACUGAUAGAUAUCUGUGAAUCUGAUGAAUUGAGUGUCGGUCAAGGCUAUUUAAAGUAUUAAAAAUUAAAACGAUUUUAGUUAGCUAUGAUAAGGA